rnacentral:rRNA from 1 species
UACAGAGGUCUCAAGCGUUGUUCGGAUUCAUUGGGCGUAAAGGGUGCGUAGGCGGCUUGUUUAGUCAGGCGUGAAAUUCCUGGGCUUAACCUGGGGGCUGCGCUUGAUACAGGCAGGCUUGAGUGCGGAAGAGGGUCGUGGAAUUCCCAGUGUAGAGGUGAAAUUCGUAGAUAUUGGGAAGAACACCGGUGGCGAAGGCGGCGACCUGGUCCGUGACUGACGCUGAGGCGCGAAAGCGUGGGGAGCAAACAGG